UACAGAGGUCCCAAGCGUUGUUCGGAUUCAUUGGGCGUAAGGGUGCGUAGGCGGCGCGGUAAGUCGGGUGUGAAAUCUCGGGGCUUAACUCCGGAACUGCAUUCGAUACUGCCGUGCUUGAGGACUGGAGAGGAGACUGGAAUUACGGUGUAGCGGUGAAAUGCGUAGAUAUCGUAAGGAAGACCAGUGGCGAAGGCGGGUCUCGUGGACAGUUCCUGACGCUGAGGCACGAAGGCCAGGGGAGCAAACGGG
rnacentral:rRNA from 1 species